rnacentral:rRNA from 1 species
UACGGGGGGGGCAAGCGUUGUUCGGAAUUACUGGGCGUAAAGGGCGCGUAGGCGGCCUGCUAAGUCGGAUGUGAAAUCCCUCGGCUCAACCGAGGAACUGCAUCCGAUACUGGCGGGCUUGAAUCCGGGAGAGGGAUGUGGAAUUCCAGGUGUAGCGGUGAAAUGCGUAGAUAUCUGGAGGAACACCGGUGGCGAAGGCGGCAUCCUGGAUCGGCAUUGACGCUGAGGCGCGAAAGCCAGGGGAGCAAAGCGGG